rnacentral:rRNA from 1 species
ACUCAGAUCACGUAAAGUUUUAAUAGUCGAACAGACUAAAUAUUAAUUAAGCCCCUUCACCUAACAUUCACUUUAAUUCAACAUCGAGGUCACAAACCUAAUUAUUAAUAAGAACUUGCUAAUUAAAUUAUGCUGUUAUCCCUAGAGUAACUUCAUAAAACUUUCUACUUUUAUUUUUUUUAUAAAAAUUUUUAUCUUCAAAUAUUGCCCCAAUAAAAAAUUAACCAUUUCAAGCUUCUAGGGUCUUCUCGUCCCAAAGUCUUAUAAAAGCAUUUUUACUUUUAGUUUAAAUUCAAAUUAAUUAAUUAAAAAUAUCCUCUUAGU